AGCGGCGGACGGGUGAGUAACACGUGGGUAACCUGCCCAAGAGACUGGGAUAACACCUGGAAACAGAUGCUAAUACCGGAUAACAACACUAGACGCAUGUCUAGAGUUUAAAAGAUGGUUCUGCUAUCACUCUUGGAUGGACCUGCGGUGCAUUAGCUAGUUGGUAAGGUAACGGCUUACCAAGGCAAUGAUGCAUAGCCGAGUUGAGAGACUGAUCGGCCACAUUGGGACUGAGACACGGCCCAAACUCCUACGGGAGGCAGCAGUAGGGAAUCUUCCACAAUGGACGCAAGUCUGAUGGAGCAACGCCGCGUGAGUGAAGAAGGGUUUCGGCUCGUAAAGCUCUGUUGGUAGUGAAGAAAGAUAGAGGUAGUAACUGGCCUUUAUUUGACGGUAAUUACCUAGAAAGUCACGGCUAACUACGUGCCAGCAGCCGCGGUAAUACGUAGGUGGCAAGCGUUGUCCGGAUUUAUUGGGCGUAAAGCGAGUGCAGGCGGUUCAAUAAGUCUGAUGUGAAAGCCUUCGGCUCAACCGGAGAAUUGCAUCAGAAACUGUUGAACUUGAGUGCAGAAGAGGAGAGUGGAACUCCAUGUGUAGCGGUGGAAUGCGUAGAUAUAUGGAAGAACACCAGUGGCGAAGGCGGCUCUCUGGUCUGCAACUGACGCUGAGGCUCGAAAGCAUGGGUAGCGAACAGGAUUAGAUACCCUGGUA
rnacentral:rRNA from 1 species